rnacentral:rRNA from 1 species
UACGAAGGGUGCAAGCGUUACUCGGAAUUACUGGGCGUAAAGCGUGCGUAGGUGGUGAGUUAAGUCUGUCGUGAAAGCCCCGGGCUCAACCUGGGAAUGGCGAUGGAUACUGGCUCGCUAGAGUGCGGUAGAGGAGAGUGGAAUUCCCGGUGUAGCAGUGAAAUGCGUAGAGAUCGGGAGGAACACCGGUGGUGUAGACGGCUUUCUGGACCGUAACUGACGCUGAGACACGAAAGCGUGGGUAGCAAACAGG